AAAAAAAGUGCACAGUGUGUGGUUGAAGAAGCGGCAUGCAUGCUGGCUCUUAGAUUAAUGAUUUGAAGGCAAGAUUUCAUUGAAAGAAACACAACUGCGCGUAUUCACGGGAAAGAAGACGGUGUACGAGUGACGGAGGUGCGAGCAAGAAAGCAAGAUUUGAUAGAAAGAGACGAGGAGUACUUUGAAAAACUAAGAGAAGGGGAAACAAGAGCGAGAAAGCGAGUGAAGAAAAGGCAGACAGAGAGAGAAAAACGAACGAGAAUUGUCGAACGUUAGUACGCAGAGGAGACAAAGGCCACGGUGGCGGCGGCAUCGACGACGACGACGAAGACGACGACGACGGUGAUGGUUAUGGUGGUGGUGGUGGUGGCGGCAGCAUAACCUCCAAGUACCGACGAACCUGAGCUUCGUGUCGCGCGCGCGUCACGAAAAAUAUUCCCCCCUCUCCUCCUGAUCCUCCUUCUUCUCCUCCUUCUCUCUUUCUCCUCCUCCUCCUCUUCAUCCUCCUUCUCCACCUCCUCACCUCCUUCUUUCCGUUCGUUGCGUUUUUCGACGACGGCGAGUAACGUUGUUCGUCCGUAAAGUAAAACCGUGAAUAAUAACGUUUGCAUCUCUCAAAGGUAUACGACGUACAUAUAUAUAUAUAUAAAAAUAUAUAAAAGAAUAUAAUACCUUUUUGCCUACAUUGUAUCCCCCAACAGUUUUUGGGCUUCCAUAAAGGCAAACGCGUGCGAGCGAGAAAGAGUUAAGGAUAACACGUGUACGAAACGCGGUCUCGUUCUUAUUAUUCGAUCGAUAAUUAAUAACAACAACAAUUUGAAUAAAUUUAAAAAAAAAGGAUAGUACUAGCGCGUAUAAAAAUCCGCGUGCCGGUUAUAAUAUUACAAUUAGUGCUUGGCGAAACAGUUAAUGGAUGAAACUGGCAGGAUGUUGCAACACGGAGGAUCGGGUGUCGGUUUGAUGGGAGCUAACCAAGCUCAAGGGGCCCAAAAUACCACAGGCUACGGCACCAUGGGACCCGUCGAUGGAUCCGCUGCUCAGGGUCCCGACCAAGCUGUCGAGGCUAGAAAACAGGAUAUCGGCGAGAUCUUACAACAGAUCAUGAACAUCACCGACCAAAGUCUCGACGAGGCUCAAGCAAGGAAACACACACUUAAUUGCCACAGAAUGAAACCUGCCCUGUUCUCGGUACUCUGCGAGAUCAAAGAAAAAA